ensembl:lncRNA
UUCUUUUGUAGCCUCACUGUUUACAGAAAUGGAAAUUUGAAAACAUGGCCCAUUACAGGCAUCCAUAAAAGUAUUUAGAUUUUCCAGAAAUUCAGAGUGGAUAUUCCAAAUGAUGUUUCUUUAUUUUCAGAGCCUUGGCUGAGCUGGCAGAAGAGAUACUUUUUAAUUUGGGCUGUUUUCUAGGUGGUCCAAAGACUCUACCGCCUCACUGGAGCUGAAAGACUCAUCUGUUUGUGAUGCCCAGGCUUCCCUGCGGAGUCCUCACCAUAGUGUUAAAUCACCACUCCUUUGGUAUCGUGGUUGUUUGCAUAACAGGGACAACAAGAACGAGAAGUGGAGUAAGGGAUCUCUAUAGGAGAUUCCUUCUCCCUAUGGACUUAAUGGACCUAUACUGUCUUCUGCCUAUGGCAGGUAUUGUAAUGCUUCUUUUUGGAUCGAUACUCUAUAUUCUCUUAUGGAGAGUAAAAAGUUAUCAUCUGCAGUAAGAAAAAGAGUUCAGAGUAAAAUAGCAUAUUAGUAAUUCAGUUUCCAUACUCAUUUACUGCAUCACAGCUGUCAGUGAAAGGCAAUCAAAAGUUCAUGCUAUAUGCUAUGUUUGUAAAUAGUGAUGCUAUCUCAUUAUUUUCUGGCCUGUCUGCAAUUAACCUCUUAUUUUGAAGGUGAUGAAAAUGUUCCAUAAGAGUAUACUAUAUUUCAAACAUAUUUCAAAGCACAUCUUUUUUCACUUCAGUCAUUCAUGAGGGAAAUAAAUGUUUCCGUACUGAUUUGUAUGCAAGCCUGUCAUAAGUAAUUUUUGUCUUUAACAUCAUGGAUUUGAAGAAAGGAAUGAACUUUGUUAAUGGAUUAGUUCUAUGUGAUCGUUGUCUGAAUUUUGAUAGUUUCUGAGUCCUGAAGGUAAGUAAUGCAAGCA